CACGUAGUUAGCCGGGGCUUCUUAGUCAGGUACCGUCUUGCUUCUUCCCUGCCGAUAGGGCUUUACAUGCCGAAGCACUCCUUCACCCACGCGGCGUCGCUGCAUCAGGGUUCCCCCCAUUGUGCAAUAUCCCCCACUGCUGCCUCCCAUAGGAGUCUGGGCCGUGUCUCAGUCCCAAUGUGGCCGUCCGCCCUCUCAGGCCGGCUACCGAUCGUCGCCUUGGUGGGCCGCUGCCCCCGCCAACAAGCUAAUCGGACGCGGACCCAUCGCAUGCCGGGAUUGCUCCCUUUCCGCACUGCGCCAUGCGGCGCCGUGCGCAUAUGCGGUAUUAGCGGCUGUUCCAGCCGGUAUCCCCCUGCAUGCGGCAGGUUGUCCACGCGUUACUCACCCGUCCGCCACUCGCAUGCGCAAUCACUGGUUUCAUGCGCAUCGCCGUUCGACUUGCAUGUGUAGGCACGCCGCCACGCGUUCAUCC
rnacentral:rRNA from 1 species